UUGGUAUCUUAGUGGCGGACGGGUGAGUAACGCGUGGGUAACCUGCCUUACACUGGGGGAUAACACUUAGAAAUAGGUGCUAAUACCGCAUAACAGAGGGAGUCGCAUGACUUCGUCUUAAAAACUCCGGUGGUGUAAGAUGGACCCGCGUCUGAUUAGCUGGUUGGCGGGGUAGCGGCCCACCAAGGCGACGAUCAGUAGCCGGCCUGAGAGGGUGAACGGCCACAUUGGGACUGAGACACGGCCCAAACUCCUACGGAAGGCAGCAG
rnacentral:rRNA from 1 species